UUGGAGGGCAAGUCUGGUGCCAGCAGCCGCGGUAAUUCCAGCUCCAAUAGCGUAUAUUAAAGUUGUUGCAGUUAAAAAGCUCGUAGUUGAAUUUCGGGAUCAAUGUUUCGGUCAUGCCGUUGGUAUGUACUGAUAUUAUUGAUUUCUCACCUUCUAAAGAACCGUAAUGCCAUUAAUUUGGUGUCACGGGGAAUUAGGACUGUUACCUUGAAAAAAUUAGAGUGUUUAAAGCAGGCUCACGCUUGAAUACAUUAGCAUAGAAUAAUGAAAUAGGACAUCCGAUUCUAUUUUGUUGGUUUCUAGGAUCGAUGUAAUGAUUAAUAGGGAUAGUUGGGGGCAUUAGUAUUCAAUUGUCAGAGGUGAAAUUCUUGGAUUUAUUGAAGACUAACUACUGCGAAAGCAUUUGCCAAGGAUGUUUUCAUUAAUCAAGAACGAAAGUUAGGGGAUCGAAGACGAUCAGAUACCGUCGUAGUCUUAACCAUAAACUAUGCCGACUAGGGAUCGGAUGAUGUUAAUUUUUUAAUGGCUCAUUCGGCGCCUUACGGGAAACCAAAGUGUUUGGGUUC
rnacentral:rRNA from 1 species